rnacentral:tRNA from 1 species
GGAAGGGUGGCAGAGCGGUUGAAUGCAGCGGUCUUGAAAACCGCCGUAGGUUAAUAGCCUACCCAGGGUUCGAAUCCCUGCCCUUCCG